AGCGAACGCUGGCGGCAGGCCUAACACAUGCGAGUCGAACGAACCUUUCGGGGUUAGUGGCGGAAGGGUGAGUAACACGUGGGAACGUGCCUUUAGGUUCGGAAUAACUCAGGGAAACUUGUGCUAAUACCGAAUGUGCCCUUCGGGGGAAAGAUUAAUCGCCUUUAGAGCGGCCCGCGUCUGAUUAGCUAGUUGGUUGAGGUAAUGGCUCACCAAGGCGACGAUCAGUAGCUGGUCUGAGAGGAUGAUCAGCCACAUUGGGACUGAGACACGGCCCAAACUCCUACGGGAGGCAGCAGUGGGGAAUCUUGCGCAAUGGGCGAAAGCCUGACGCAGCCAUGCCGCGUGAAUGAUGAAGGUCUUAGGAUUGUAAAAUUCUUUCACCGGGGACGAUAAUGACGGUACCCGGAGAAGAAGCCCCGGCUAACUUCGUG
rnacentral:rRNA from 1 species